AAACGACUCUCGGCAACGGAUAUCUCGGCUCACGCAUCGAUGAAGAACGUAGCAAAAUGCGAUACUUGGUGUGAAUUGCAGAAUCCCGUGAACCAUCGAGUUUUUGAACGCAAGUUGCGCCCGAAGCCUUUUGGCCGAGGGCACGUCUGCCUGGGCGUCACACAU
rnacentral:rRNA from 3 species